UACGUAGGGGGCAAGCGUUGUCCGGAAUUAUUGGGCGUAAAGAGCGCGUAGGCGGUCCGGUAAGUCGGUUGUGAAAGUCGGGGGCUCAACCCUCGGAUGCCGAUCGAUACUGUCGGGCUAGAGUCCGGAAGAGGAGAGUGGAAUUCCUGGUGUAGCGGUGAAAUGCGCAGAUAUCAGGAAGAACACCCGUGGCGAAGGCGGCUCUCUGGGACGGUACUGACGCUGAGACGCGAAAGCGUGGGGAGCGAACAGG
rnacentral:rRNA from 1 species